rnacentral:rRNA from 1 species
AUUGAACGCUGGCGGCAGGCCUUACACAUGCAAGUCGAACGGAGUGGCGAACGGGUGCGUAAUGUAUCGGAACGUGACCAGUAGCGGGGGAUAACUAACCGAAAGCGUCGCUAAUACCGCAUACUAUUGGACCGGCCGAUAUCGGAUUAGCUUGGUGGUGGGGUAACGGCUCACCAAGGCGACGAUCCGUAGCUGGUGUUGGAGGACGACCAGCCAAACUGGGACCGAUACACGGCCCAGAAUCCUACGGUAGGAAGCAGUGGGGAAUUGUGGACAAUGGGGGAAACCCUGAUCCAGCCAUCCCGCGUGGGCGAUGAAGGCCUUCGGGUUGUAAAGCACUUUUGGCAGGAAAGCGGUACCUGCAGAAUAAGCACCGGCUAACUACGUGCCAGCCGCCGCGGUAAUAC